rnacentral:tRNA from 1 species
GCCUUCGUUGUGUAGUGGUCAGCCCACUCGAUGCGUAAUCGAGAGGUCCGGGGUUCGAUUCCCUGCGAAGGCU